rnacentral:rRNA from 1 species
GACGAACGCUGGCGGCGUGCUUAACACAUGCAAGUCGAACGGUAAGGCCCUUCGGGGUACACGAGUGGCGAACGGGUGAGUAACACGUGGGUGAUCUGCCCUGCACUUCGGGAUAAGCCUGGGAAACUGGGUCUAAUACCGGAUAGGACCCUGGGAUGCAUGUCCUGGGGUGGAAAGCUUUUGCGGUGUGGGAUGGGCCCGCGGCCUAUCAGCUUGUUGGUGGGGUGAUGGCCUACCAAGGCGACGACGGGUAGCCGGCCUGAGAGGGUGACCGGCCACACUGGGACUGAGAUACGGCCCAGACUCCUACGGGAGGCAGCAGUGGGGAAUAUUGCACAAUGGGCGCAAGCCUGAUGCAGCGACGCCGCGUGGGGGACGACGGCCUUCGGGUUGUAAACCUCUUUCAGUAGGGACGAAGCGCAAGUGACGGUACCUACAGAAGAAGCACCGGCCAACUACGUGCCAGCCGCCGCAGUAA